AAACUUUCAACAACGGAUCUCUUGGUUCUGGCAUCGAUGAAGAACGCAGCGAAAUGCGAUAAGUAAUGUGAAUUGCAGAAUUCAGUGAAUCAUCGAAUCUUUGAACGCACAUUGCGCCCUCUGGUAUUCCGGAGGGCAUGCCUGUCCGAGCGUCAUUG
rnacentral:rRNA from 2 species